AUGACAUUAUCUGAGACCCUUCUCUGCACCCUUAGCUGUGGCCUAGCCCAGAGCCAUGGGCUGCCAUAAAUAGGUGACCUUCAAAGUUCUGCACCAAACUGGGAGAAUCUUUCUUUUCUUCCUGUCUGAAGAACAAGAAUGUUUUCAAUUUUCCCCUGGAGCAGCUGCAUGGCACCAAAUUCCAAAAGGCUCAGGCCACCAAUGUUCUUCAUGAGAUGAUCCAGCAGAUGAUCCAGCAGAUCUCCACAAAAGACAGGAAGGUUGGUUGGAAUGAAACUGGCCUGGAGAAAUUAUUCACUGAACUCUACCAGCAGCUGAAUGACUUGGAAGCCUGUGUGAUGCAGCAGGAGAGGGUGGGAGAAACUCCCCUGAUGAAUGCGGACUCCACCUUGGCUGUGAAGAAAUACUUCCGAAGAAUCACUCUCUAUCUGACAGAGAAGAAAUACAGCCCUUGUGCCUGGGAGGUUGUCAGAGCAGAAAUCAUGAGAUCCUUCUCUCUAUCAACAAACUUGCAGGAAAGAUUAAGGAGGAAGGAAUAACACCUGGUCCAACAUGAAAACAAUUCUUAUUGACUCAUACACCAGCUCAUGCUUUCAUGAAUUCUGCCAUUUCAAAGACUCUCACUCCUGCUA